rnacentral:lncRNA from 1 species
GUUGGAUCACCUGUUACAGGAGUGAAGAUGAAUUGGAUAUGUGCAUGUUGAAUAUAAAGUGUCACUGAGAUGCUUAGGAAGCUCUAUGUAAAGGCACUUGUGAAUGGAGGCUGCACACAAAGGCGAAAGGACAUAGAAAGAAUGUGAGUCCCUGACACUGCAGAGCCACACACAAGCUCUGGACCAUUUAUCUGGAUUUUUACAUGGAAGAGAGUGUGUUCACGGUGAAGCAGAUGGAGCGUGUAAGGCCAUGGAUGGGAACGGAUAACAGAAAAAAAGAGCUGCUGGGAAGAGAAAGACUACAUGAAAAUGAUUGGCAAGGAGAAAAAAGAAAGUGACAGAUAAAACUUAACAAUUUCUUCUGUUUCACAA